UGUGAUGGGGAAGCUCCUUAUGGAGCGAAGUCUUUGAUUCCCCGCUGCCAAGAAAAGCUUCUAGCGAGAUAAAAGGUGCCUGUACCGCAAACCGACACAGGUAGGCGAGGAGAGAAUCCUAAGGUGUGCGAGAGAACUCUGGUUAAGGAACUCGGCAAAAUGACCCCGUAACUUCGGGAGAAGGGGUGCUUUCUUAACGGAAAGCCGCAGUGAAUAGGCCCAAGCGACUGUUUAGCAAAAACACAGCUCUCUGCGAAGCCGUAAGGCGAAGUAUAGGGGGUGACACCUGCCCGGUGCUGGAAGGUUAAGGAGAGGGGUUAGCGUAAGCGAAGCUCUGAACUGAAGCCCCAGUAAACGGCGGCCGUAACUAUAACGGUCCUAAGGUAGCGAAAUUCCUUGUCGGGUAAGUUCCGACCCGCACGAAAGGUGUAACGAUUUGGGCACUGUCUCAACCAGAGACUCGGUGAAAUUAUAGUACCUGUGAAGAUGCAGGUUACCCGCGACAGGACGGAAAGACCCCGUGGAGCUUUACUGUAGCCUGAUAUUGAAUUUUGGUACA
rnacentral:rRNA from 1 species